AUUGAACGCUGGUGGCAGGCCUAACACAUGCAAGUCGAGCGAGCGGCGGACGGGUGAGUAAUGUCUGGGAAACUGCCUGAUGGAGGGGGAUAACUACUGGAAACGGUAGCUAAUACCGCAUACCCUCAGAUGUGCCCAGAUGGGAUUAGCUAGUAGGUGGGGUACCGGCUCAACUAGGCGACGAUCCCUAGCUGGUCUGAGAGGAUGACCAGCAACAAUGGAAAUGAGACACGGUACAGACUCCGACGGGAGGCAGCAGUGGGGAAUAUGGCACAAUGGGCGCAAGCCUGAGGCAGCCAUGCAGCGUGUGUGAAGAAGGCCUUAGGGUUGUAAAGCACUUUCAGCGGGGAGGCGUUACCCGCAGAAGAAGCACCGGCUAACUCCGUGCCAGCAGCCGCGGUAAUUC
rnacentral:rRNA from 1 species